CCUACGGGAGGCAGCAGUGAGGAAUAUUGGUCAAUGGGCGCAAGCCUGAACCAGCCAAGUCGCGUGAGGGAAGACGGUCCUAUGGAUUGUAAACCGCUUUUGUAGGGGAGCAAAAUCCGCCACGCGUGGCGUUCCGAGCGUACCCUACGAAAAAGCAUCGGCUAACUCCGUGCCAGCAGCCGCGGUAUUACGGAGGAUGCGAGCGUUAUCCGGAUUUAUUGGGUUUAAAGGGUGCGCAGGCGGAAGAUCAAGUCAGCGGUAAAAUUGAGAGGCUCAACCCCUUCGAGCCGUUGAAACUGGUGUGCUGGAGUGAGUGAGAAGUAGGCGGAAUGCGUGGUGUAGCGGUGAAAUGCAUAGAUAUCACGCAGAACUCCGAUUGCGAAGGCAGCAUACCGGAGCUCAACUGACGCUCAUGCACGAAAGUGUGGGUAUCGAACAGGAUUAGAUACCCCUGUAGUC
rnacentral:rRNA from 1 species